rnacentral:rRNA from 1 species
GACGAAGGGGGCUAGCGUUGUUCGGAAUUACUGGGCGUAAAGCGAGUGUAGGUGGUUGUCCAAGUUGGAUGUGAAAGGCCUUGAGCUCAACUCAAGAAAUGCAUUCAGGACUGGGCGGCUAGAGGACCGGAGAGGAUAGUGGAAUUCCCAGUGUAGUGGUGAAAUACGUAGAGAUUGGGAAGAACACCAGUGGCGAAGGCGGCUAUCUGGACGGUUUCUGACACUAAGACUCGAAAGCGAUGGGGAGGCAAACAGG